AAUCAUGGUUGGGUUCCCUUAUCAACACUAUAGUUGGAAAUUUGAAACUCUCAAUUUUAAAUAUUCAUAUCAGAUACGAGGACAGUGAAAGCAAUCCUGGUCACCCAUUUGCAGCAGGUGUGACCUUGGAGAAACUCUUAGCUUCCUUCUGAGUGGGUCCAGAUUGAUGUAGGCAUUGGAUCUUCAUCAUUUGCAAAAUCACAGGGCCCGGAAUGACUUAUUGAUAGUGGAUGUUUGCCAGGUGAGUGGGAA